rnacentral:rRNA from 1 species
AGAAUCAACGCUGGCGGCGUGCCUAACACAUGCAAGUCGCACGAGAAAGGGACUUCGGUCCUGAGUACAGUGGCGCACGGGUGAGUAACACGUGAAUAAUCUACCUCCGAGUGGGGAAUAACUGAGAGAAAUCUUAGCUAAUACCGCAUAACACUUACGAGUCAAAGCAGCAAUGCGCUUGGAGAGGAGUUCGCGGCAGAUUAGUUAGUUGGCGGGGUAAUGGCCCACCAAGACGAUGAUCUGUAUCCGGCCUGAGAGGGCGCACGGACACACUGGAACUGAAACACGGUCCAGACUCCUACGGGAGGCGGCAGUGGGGAAUUUUGCGCAAUGGGGGAAACCCUGACGCAGCAACGCCGCGUGGAGGAUGAAAUCCCUUGGGAUGUAAACUCCUUUCGAUAGGGAAGAUAAUGACGGUACCUAUAGAAGAAGCCCGGCUAACUUCGCGCCAGCAGCCGC